CAGCCAUCCGUGACAUUGUGUGCAAAGACCACAAACCAGCCAUUUUCUUCUCCUUUUAAAAAUCAAAUAGCUACAUUUGCAAAUGUUACACUAUUUAAAAGCAGGUUUGGGUACACUGCACCAAAUAGUCUUACUUAAAACAUAUUAAUAGGUGGUGUCUGAAAACAAAGCCUUGCUUUGCAUUUUGAGAUUUUAAAUGUGAUAACAUUUAAACUACCACCAACUUGUUAGAGUCAUGGAGAAUUUUGUUGCCUUUCAAGUUGAGGCCUAGCUUUUCCAAACUCAAAGGUCUGUCAGCUCAGCUGAAUAAGCAGUAAAAGUCCAAGGAAGGGUGUGUCCUAUGUAGGGUUGCAAAGGGCUGGAAAAUUUCUGGAAAUUUUCCUGAAACUUUCCGUUCCAUGGGAAGUGAAGCUUGGGAAUUUUGGAAAUAUUCCUCAUUAGAAACUUUCCAUGGGAAUUAACGGGAAAGUAUGGGAAUUAACAAGAAUAUUCCUAGAAUUUUGCAACCCUAGUCCUAUGUCAUCUUAGAUUGAUUAGAUAAGACUAAAUACUUGUUAAAAGCUAGAAGUUCUCAUUAAUGGAUUCAGGGCGAUGAACAUUUAUCCUAUCAGGUUAAAUAUUUAUAUCAUACACUAGGUGUAGCACUUUCUGUGAGAUGUUAGACAUUGUACGAGGGCAAUCAAAAGUUCUACAUACAAGCCAUUUAAUCUGCAAAGCACAUUUUGCAUUACUAAAAACUAAUAAUAAACAAAUCACACAAAUUACAUUCUUAAGGCAAAUCAAGUCCAUAAAAUAGAAUAGUGUUAUAUACAUUGUAAGUAUAAGUGUAUAUAUUAGUUUUACAUUUGUGAAAUGGAUUAGAAAAUUAUUUUACAACGCAUUCACAAGCACAAUAGUAAUUUAAUAGAAAUUGUUUCUGCUCCAACUGAAAAAAAUAAACAAUUUUCAAUGAUUCCAACUCUUCCAAAGGCUCAGGAUCAUUGCAGACCUAGGUUUAGAUAACAGUUUGAUUGCAAAUCUUCAAACUGUCUGAAGACCUGAAUAUAAACUGAUUAUGUAUUUGGGCUGUGAACUUGGAUUGUGAUAUUGUUUCUCUUCUAUGCCUUCUGCAAUUCUGACAAAAAUUGCCAAUGUUUACUAAUAUAAACAUAUUUUAGGUAUUUGGUUACGCAGCCAAAUAAUGUAAUUUCUAUUGAACAAGACUCAAACAAGGUUUCACUCCAUUAUGUCAAAAUGCUCUUUUUCUUCCUGUUCAUGAUAUUGCUUAUUGCUUUGAAAACAGAAGGUAAAUGUUUGUGGACUAAAAAAAUACCUAAAUGAAAAACUUAUUUUGAAAAUAGCUCUAAAAUCAGAAGCCUGGCAACCUUGCACAUAAUGACCGAAAAGACUCUCAUUUUAAGUUAUUAGCCUUCAACACAAUAAAAACAAAUAUUGCAAAUUGUGAUAUUUUUAACAAUAUUUUAAAAUGAAAUGAAUGAAAUGACAAUGAUAUGUGUUUCCCUUCCAUUAACUUCCCUGUGAAAUGCCAACUGAAUGGUCUGAUUUUCGCUGUGAAUGCUGGCAUUCUGUGUAAUACAUGAGCAAAGCGCUCACACUGUUUACAACCAGGAAGGAAUGCUAUUGGUUUCUGAUAAAAUCUUUCAUAAAACAUAUUUAAAAUAUAUUGAUAUAAAUGGUACUGUGUCAUCAUGUAUAUCGUUUAAAAAAUAUCGAAAUACGGUAAUUAAUAAAUAAAUAAAUCCAUAUAGCUUAGCUUUAGCAAAAUCUACUUUUUCUACGAUUCUCAAAUCGAUUGUGUGACCUCACUGACGCCCCCUAGUGGGCUUUGGCCCCUCAGUUGAGAACCACUGUUCUAAAGCACAAAGGCCACAGGUCAGGCUUUUUUUUGUAAAUGUUCAUGUGUGUUAUACUACCAUGUCUACAUUUUCAUAGCAUAUGGAGAUCAACACUUUAUGUCAAAGAUUAUGAAAAUGCGGAUUAUGUUGAGGUUAUGAUUUUCUUAUCGUAUCUUUAGAUUAAAGUCACACAACUGUUAAAGCUGCCAAAGAUCUACAUGUUUUCAUAAUUCAUAAAGGGACAGGAAAAGGGGGACUUCAAAUCGAUGUAUGAGGGAACCCACGUUAGCAUGUAGCACAGGUCAUUUGGAUGCUUCAUUUUCAAUACUUCCACAUUUUCGAUUAUAUUCAAAAAGGCAUGAAUUAUUCUAAAUAUUUGAGCUAGUUUAUCAAACAUACAGCAGUUCUGUGCCUGAACAAUUUAAUACUUUUCUAAUUAUUAUUUGAUUGGCGAUAUUAGAAAUAGUAUACCGAAGAUCUUUCUUUUCCCCUAUGCACAGAGUGGAGAUUAAUUAAAGAAGCGGAUGAAUACAUCACGCAGUAUAGUCCACUGGGUGGCUGUAUCAGCUGGUAGGAUCUUGACUGUAACGUUUACGUGAAAACAUAGUUUCAUCAGUAUAAAAUCACUGAAAUUAAACUUAUCUGGCGUACACAUCUCGACGAUAAUUCCUCAUAGCCUAUAUAAUACCGGUAAUACGGGUAGUACCACAUAGAUACCGUUAGUACCUUAUUUUAAAUUAUUCGUCCAUAAAGACGCGACAGGGACAAAUGUGACUCUUUCAAUAAAGGCUUCAUUGAUUACUUUCAUUAACGACACUGGCAUUUAAUGUGUUUCACAUGUCACAGAUGAAGAGUCGUUUCUCGUUACGCAAUUUGCUGUUUGACAUUGAUACGCUUAACCUGUGCGCCACCUGCUGACGAACUUACGUAUUGUUUAAAUAUACAUAUAUUAAAUUAAAAAAAAAAAACUCUGCUGGGAACCCCUGUGCGGUCUGAAACCAGCAUGGCAUUCUUCAUGUUCAGUGAAAUAUUUUCCUGAAUUAAGCCAGGGCGUGUUAUAACUAAUAUGAAACCUCAUUUCAUCGUAUAUUUAAGGUGAUAAUUAACUUGAAAAAUAAGAGCCAUUUACAGUGCCUCUUUUAAAUGCCUUGUGAUUAAUGACCUAGUGACUACCAGUGAUCUGCAUACCCACGUGUAACAAUGGCGGACUGUCCUUUAAUCAGUUUUAUUUGUGUUUCUGGCAGUGGAUGAAUACCAAUGGCUCCGCAAGGCCCAGUCCCCGGGGGCUGGCUGUCUGCAGGCACACUGUCGCUGGAUCCCAGCUUCUACUGCAUCGCCGUCCUUCUUAUCAUAACCAUCAUACUUCUGUCUCUUUGUAACAAAUGCGACAAGUCAGUCAUCCAUUCCCCCUUCUCUUUUUGCUAUUAAUUGCUUUUAAUAAUACGCCUGUAAAAACUGUUGCCUGAAGAAAUUAAAGAAACCUAAGGGACACACAUUGCAGCAUCAAGAGAACUCUGAAAAGGUACAACCACCAUUACAGCUCAUAAGAGUGUCUCCUAUAGGGGGAGCUACAGGAGGCAAAGACAGUUUGUGGCACACUAACCUCACAGACCAGAAAGGUGACCCUGCUCUUACUUCAGUGCCAGAAAAUAAGAGUUUGCAAAGUGCUACAGACCAGGAAGGAACCCUGUGGUAUCCACCCUGGAGAAGCCACAGUGGAGUACCUGUCUAUGCUGAAGGCGAGCUAAGUGCAAACUCUAAUGAGAGGCUGACCCUGAAGACUGGUGGCGAUAUUUCUAAAGAAGACGCCGGAAAGGCCGCUUCAGAAGGAGAACUCACUGGAUUGGACCAAACAUCACACAUGGGCGUGUCACGUAUGCACGCAGCGCGGCGCAGUCAUUUACCUCCGACUCCGGAAGAUGUUACGACGGGAACCAAAAACUUAAAAUGCUCACUGCAACAGCCUCAAGAGAGAAAACAGCACACUUCUGAAAUUGUCCAGGAGACGUGCAGCAGAGACCAUAACCCUGAUGUUCUGGGUGUAGCUUUUCCUGAGGAUAACUCUGAAGACCGAGACUACCAGACUAUCGAGGAGCUGACCUGUCAUUCCUCCCAAAAAAAUCAUGUGGCUGACAGAAGAUACAGAGAAGACCCAGUAGCAAUCUCUCCUACUCCACUUGAAGGCAAAGCAGAAGACCCAAAUGCUAUGUAUGCGCGGAUAAUCAAGAAAAUAAUAACUUGCAAGGCACCAGUACAGCUGCCCCUUAAGGAAGAGGAUGAGUCAGCUCCACCUGUCCCAGACAAGUGUUUUGAUAUGGAGGAUUGCAUAUGAGUAUACGAAGGAAAUUAGAUGAACAUUAAAGACUCAUAUAUACGUAAAACUUCGCUGCAUGCGUAACUACGUAACAAUCCACUCUCGUAAAAACAGUUCAAAAGUGUUGUCAGAGCUGUUUAAAGAACUGAUGCGAUUAUGAGGAAUGAUUCUACGAUAAGAACGCUAGAUGGUUCUUAUUUCCCAACCCAAAUAGCCAAUUCACAGCUGAAAAUAGCCAGAAGAGUUUAUAUAAAAUUACAAAAAUUUAGAUAGAUAGAUACUUUAUUAAUCCCAAAUAAAAUUUUAAUUUGCUUAGCAAUAUAAGGUAGGAUACUGCAGAACAAAGAUUUUUUUUCCAAGGAUUGCGUGCAUUUAGUACCUCAUUGCAAUUUUAUUAUAUUGCAUGUAAAGUGCAGCUAUGUUUUUUCUGGUUUUAUAGAACAAGAAAAAAUUGGCUGUGUUGAUAUUGUUAGAUUACUAACUAAAUAUGUAUACUGAAUGGUAUGAUUUUGUUUUGGUUUCUGUCAUAAUAUAUGAUACAGAUGGAUAUUAUCUACUUAGUAUGUGGAUAUUAUUAUAUCUAUGGCCUUUUGAUGGAAACAAGAAAUUAGUAGGCCUUGUGCUAUAUUGAGCUUACUUUAAUGCUCCCUGAGACAAGAACCAAGGCACUUCAAAUCCCGCAUUUUGGGUUGUGCAAUGUCCCUGCCACUGUUGAGAAGUUGACUGAGCACUCAUGGAGUUACCACUCAGCUGGUGAAUCAUGCACCUGGAUGACCUCCGGAUACAGGCUAGAGAUUUUGACAAAACUCUCAACAACCUGCAGGAAGUCAUCACCACCAUGCAGAGGACUGGUCUCAAGCUCAACCCUGCUAAGCGCCUGUUCUUCCAGGGAUGAGUGCAGUUCCUGGGCCACAUAGUAGAUGCUGAAGGAACGUCCACAAACCUAGAGAAGGUAGCAACUGUGAGGAACUGACAGUCGCUGCGGGUGGCACAGGAGUGGAGGAGUUUCCUGGAUGCCUGACGGAAGAGGGGACCGAGUUCUACUGGACAAAAGAGUGUGAGCCAGCAUUCCAGGGAAGUGAGGGGGUGCUGAUCACCACUCUAGUGUUAGCCUUCCCUGACCUGAAAGCCCCCUUUGUUGUGGACAUGGUUCCCAGAAACGUGGGAAUUAGCACACUGCCCUCCCAAGUCCAGGAGGGAGGCAGGAGGGGCAAACUGCAGUGAAUAUUGUAUGUCGUGGGAGCUUUGGGGUCAGGUGGCCUGGUGUGCGAAGAGGCUGCAGGCAUUCCAGUUCCCGUCUGUGGAUGGUCUGGUGCAAAGAAGGCCUGCCACCAUUGUGAGCGUUCAGAGAGAUGGCGCACCGUGAGCCCCAGCGAUGGCGUUUACCACCCUGCAAGGAAUCACCCUAAUGGACAUCGGGCAAUCAAGCAUCGACAUGAUUCUGGAGCACCUGUGGAAAAUGUUCUACUGAUCUGGCUGCUGCAGUGAUGUCGAGCUGUAUGUGCAACGCUGCAGUGAUGUUGAGCUGUAUGUGCAGUGCUGCAGUGAUGUUGAGCUGUAUGUGCAGCGCUGCAGUGAUGUUGAGCUGUAUGUGCAGUGCUGCAGUGAUGUUGAGCUGUAUGUGCAGC